rnacentral:rRNA from 1 species
UUGGAGGGCAAGUCUGGUGCCAGCAGCCGCGGUAAUUCCAGCUCCAAUAGCGUAUAUUAAAGUUGUUGCAGUUAAAAAGCUCGUAGUUGAAUUUCGGGAUCAGUACGCUGGUCAUGCCUUUGGUAUGCACUGGUGUCACUGGUUUCUCCCUUCUGAAGAACCGUGAUGUCAUUAAUUUGGUGUCGCGGGGAAUCAGGACUG